CUUAAAUCUUAUAGUAUUUAUCCACCCAAACCCCAGACUGAGAUACUGCUCCCAGGGGCCUUAGGUAGCUGCCAGUCCGUGAUUUUAAUUGCUGUCUUGAAGUUAACAAGUGUUAUAAUGAAAUAAUCUACCUGAUGCUAAAUAAAGGCUUUAGAAUGUUCCCCAAAAGUGUGGUUUCUUUUAAAAUUUCAAAUAUACUAAUGUUGCCACUUAAUACUAUCCUAAAUUGUUAGAAGUGUCCUACAAAAGAAGUCCUUGUGGUACCAUAGCUCCCAGGGCCGAGGAGAUAACCAGUUACCUGGCAUGCAUAGUGGACACAGCCUGGGUGCACCCUGAAAAGCUGGCUCCUUCUCAUGCUCCGGUGUCAGUUUACAUCUGAGCCUGAACACCCUAUCUAAUAGUGACAAUUAAAGGAACAGCAAUGGGCACUUGCAUUGCAACAUAUCUCAAGACAUCUGACUGUGAAACAACAGCAUGUCCAGGAAGAGGUUUCCAUCCCUGUGCUUCCUGAACAUUUGAGCCUACUAAGAUAAAAGGUGGGGCACUGGUCUUCUUGGUGUCGCCCAUCACAUAAGUUGGAAAAGUGACUUUUGGUGGAUGCUGCUGAAACUGUGGAUCCUUAGGAUUAGAUAAAUAGAGGGUUGCUUGGGGAAAAGGCCCAGGUGCAGGUGGCGGUGAUGGGUGACCUUGUUGAUUCUUAUCAGUUAGACAAUAAAGGGUCCACAUGUUAGAA
rnacentral:lncRNA from 1 species